GUAGGGAAUAUUGGACAAUGGGGGCAACCCUGAUCCAGCGACGCCGCGUGAGUGACGAAGGCCUUCGGGUCGUAAAGCUCUGUUGCAAGGGAAAAACAAAAUGAUGGUACCUUGCUAGAAAGGAUCGGCUAACUUCGUGCCAGCAGCCGCGGUAAGACGAGGGAUCCUAGCGUUGUUCGGAAUUAUUGGGCGUAAAGCGGGUGUAGGUGGCUUUGUAAGUCAGGUGUGAAAGCCUGGGGCUUAACCCCAGAAGUGCAUUUGAUACUGCGAAGCUUGAGUGCUGGAGAGGCUACUAGAAUUCUUGGUGUAGUGGUGAAAUACGUAGAUAUCAAGAGGAAUACCGGAGGCGAAGGCGGGUAGCUGGCCAGACACUGACACUCAGACCCGAAAGCGUGGGGAUCAAACAGGAUUAGAUACCCCGGUAGUCC
rnacentral:rRNA from 1 species